CUGCAACGUGGUAGCGUGAGUGAUAGCAGAAUUAUCUGGGAAGGUAAGCCAGGGAGGGUGAGAGCCCCGUAAGCGAAAUUGCAAGCGCGCCUAGCAGAAUCCUGAGUAGGCCGGGACACGAGAAAUCCCGUGUGAAUCAGCGAGGACCAUCUCGUAAGGCUAAAUACUACUGUGU
rnacentral:misc_RNA from 1 species